rnacentral:rRNA from 1 species
AGAGUUUGAUCCUGGCUCAGAUUGAACGCUGGCGGCAUGCCUUACACAUGCAAGUCGAACGGCAGCACGGGAGCUUGCUCCUGGUGGCGAGUGGCGAACGGGUGAGUAAUACAUCGGAACGUACCCAGGAGUGGGGGAUAACGUAGCGAAAGUUACGCUAAUACCGCAUAUUCUGUGAGCAGGAAAGCGGGGGAUCGCAAGACCUCGCGCUCUUGGAGCGGCCGAUGUCGGAUUAGCUAGUUGGUGAGGUAAAAGCUCACCAAGGCGACGAUCCGUAGCAGGUCUGAGAGGAUGAUCUGCCACACUGGGACUGAGACACGGCCCAGACUCCUACGGGAGGCAGCAGUGGGGAAUUUUGGACAAUGGGGGCAACCCUGAUCCAGCCAUGCCGCGUGAGUGAAGAAGGCCUUCGGGCUGUAAAGCUCUUUCGGCGGGGAAGAAAUGGCAACGGCUAAUAUCCGUUGUUGAUGACGGUACCCGCAUAAGAAGCACCGGCUAACUACGUGCCAGCAGCCGCGGUAAUACGUAGGGUGCGAGCGUUAAUCGGAAUUACUGGGCGUAAAGCGUGCGCAGGCGGUUUCGUAAGACAGACGUGAAAUCCCCGGGCUCAACCUGGGAACUGCGUUUGUGACUGCGAGGCUAGAGUACGGCAGAGGGGGGUAGAAUUCCACGUGUAGCAGUGAAAUGCGUAGAGAUGU